AAUAUAGAAUGGUUAUUCACACAUUUCAAUCUUUCUGAAAAGAUUUUCUUUUAAAUGUCAUCAAAACAGGAGGAAAACUUUACAGGAAUACAUGUAUUCCUUUUUGUAGGAGUUCACUUAUUUAAAUUGAAACUUUUUUUUGGGAAACUGAAAAGCAGAUUGGUACUGAUGUUUUUUAGCAUAUAUAUAAAUGUAGCUCUUUGUUAAACUUGUUCAGACUGUUUUCCCUGGCUUUAGGCAAAAAUUGCUUUUUAUGUUUCACAAACAAUGAAAUCAUGAAUAUUUGAAGAACUUCAUGGAACUUGUUCAAGACUGAACUAUGAUUUCAGUUCUUAUACAUGAACCAGUAUAUCUUGAACUGUAACAUUUAGAACACCUUCAUAAAAAAGACAUUUUUUCUGAAACAGAAAUAAAAUGGAAAAUCAGAAAUUUAUUUAUAAAUGUACAUUGUGAAUUUUUUUUUUUGUUAGUAACAAAGAAGUUGGAGUUGUUUUUAUUAUUUAUCGACUCUCUUGAAUGACCUUUAGUCUCCUCCUUGAGAGAUAUAACACAACAUAUUUAUAAAUGCACGGAAACUGUAAAGUUAGUUUGGUGUAUUGAACUAUGUAGAUCGUAUGUUGAGCUGUUGACCAAUGUUAAAAAUGCUGUGCAGUUCCUCUUCAACAGACAAACAAGAUCCUUAAUUCAAAGUAUUAUUCUUAAACUAGUAAUUGUUUUAGAAAUGAAUAAAUCUGCUACCUAGGUCUUUGUUGUGAUGUUUGCAUGGUGACCAUGCAGCUUUUGUUUACUCCAUGUUGGAGAAUAAAAUGUUGAAAAAAC
rnacentral:misc_RNA from 1 species